rnacentral:rRNA from 1 species
UACGUAGGGGGCAAGCGUUGUCCGGAAUUAUUGGGCGUAAAGCGCUCGUAGGCGGUCUGUCGCGUCGGCUGUGAAAACUCGGGGCUCAACCCCGAGCCUGCAGUCGAUACGGGCAGACUAGAGUGCUGUAGGGGAGACUGGAAUUCCUGGUGUAGCGGUGAAAUGCGCAGAUAUCAGGAGGAACACCGGUGGCGAAGGCGGGUCUCUGGGCAGUAACUGACGCUGAGGAGCGAAAGCGUGGGGAGCAAACAGG